rnacentral:rRNA from 1 species
GAUGAACGCUAGCGGCAGGCAUAAUACAUGCAAGUUGAACGGGAUUCAGAUAGCAAUAUUUGAUGAGAGUGGCGCACGGGUGCGUAACACGUAUGCAACUUACCUUAAACUGGGAGAUAGCCCGUGGAAACAUGGAUUAAUAUCCCAUAGUAUAAGAACAGGCAUUUGUUUUUUAUUAAAGCUCCGGCGGUUUAAGAUGGGUAUGCGCGUCAUUAGCUAGAUGGAGAGGUAACGGCUCACCAUGGCAACGAUGACUAGGGGGUCUGAGAGGACUGUCCCCCCACACUGGUACUGAGACACGGACCAGACUCCUACGGGAGGCAGCAGUAGGGAAUAUUGGGCAAUGGACGCAAGUCUGACCCAGCCAUGCCGCGUGCAGGAAGACGGCCCUCUGGGUUGUAAACUGCUUUUAUCAGGGAAGAAACCCUUCUACGUGUAGGAGGCUGACGGUACCUGAGGAAUAAGGAUCGGCUAACUCCGUGCCAGC